rnacentral:rRNA from 1 species
UACGUAGGGUGCAGGCGUUAAUCGGAAUUACUGGGCGUAAAGCGUGCGCAGGCGGUUUGUUAAGACAGGUGUGAAAUCCCCGGGCUUAACCUGGGAACUGCGCUUGUUACUGGCAGACUUGAGUGUGGCAGAGGGGGGUGGAAUUCCAGGUGUAGCAGUGAAAUGCGUAGAGAUGUGGAGGAAUACCGAUGGCGAAGGCAGCCCCCUGGGCCAGUACUGACGCUCAUGCACGAAAGCGUGGGGAGCAAACAGG